UUGACAUCCAGAGAAUUUAGCAGAGAUGCUUUAGUGCCUUCGGGAACUCUGAGACAGGUGCUGCAUGGCUGUCGUCAGCUCGUGUUGUGAAAUGUUGGGUUAAGUCCGCAACGAGCGUAACCCUUAUCCUUUGUUGCCAGCACGUAAUGGUGGGAACUCAAAGGAGACUGCCGGUGAUAAACCGGAGGAAGGUGGGGAUGACGUCAAGUCAUCAUGGCCCUUACGAGUAGGGCUACACACGUGCUACAAUGGCGCAUACAAAGAGAAGCGACCUCGCGAGAGCAAGCGGACCUCAUAAAGUGCGUCGUAGUCCGGAUUGGAGUCUGCAACUCGACUCCAUGAAGUCGGAAUCGCUAGUAAUCGUAAAUCAGAAUGUUACGGUGAAUACGUUCCCGGGCCUUGUACACACCGCCCGUCACACCAUGGGAGUGGGUUGCAAAAGAAGUAGAUAGCUUAACCUUCGGGAGGGCGUUUACCACUUUGUGAUUCAUGACUGGGGUGAAGUCGUAACAAGGUAAGCGUAGUGCU
rnacentral:rRNA from 1 species